UAAUACUGGAUAGGCAAUUAUUCCUGUAAUGGUUUUUUGUUUAAAUGUUUUUUCGCCUAAGGAUGGGUCUGCGGCCGAUUAGUUAGUUGGUUAGGUAAUGGCUUACCAAGCCUUGAAUCGGUACGGGUUGUGAGAGCAAGAGCCCGGAGAUGGAACCUGAGACAAGGUUCCAGGCCCUACGGGGUGCAGCGGGCGCGAAACCUCCGCAAUGUGAGAAAUCGCGACGGGGGGAUCCCAAGUGCCAUUCUUAACGGGAUGGCUUUUCUUUAGUGUAAAAAGCUUUUGGAAUAAGAGCUGGGCAAGACCGGUGCCAGCCGCCGCGGUAACACCGGCAGCUCUAGUGGUAGCAAUUUUUAUUGGGCCUAAAGCGUCCGUAGCCGGUUUAAUAAGUCUCUGGUGAAAUCCUGUAGCUUAACUGUGGGAAUUGCUGGAGAUACUAUUAGACUUGAGACCGGGAGAGGUUAGAGGUACUCCCAGGGUAGAGGUGAAAUUCUGUAAUCCUGGGAGGACCGCCUGUUGCGAAGGCGUCUAACUGGAACGGUUCUGACGGUGAGGGACGAAAGUUAGGGGCGCGAACCGGAUUAGAUACCCGGGUAGUCCUAACUGUAAACGAUGCGGACUUGGUGUUG
rnacentral:rRNA from 1 species